UUUCGGGUGGAUGCCCUAGCGGCGAACGGGUGAGUAACACGUGGGCAACCUGCCCUCAGCUCUGGGAUAACUCCAAGAAAUUGGUGCUAAUACCGGAUAUGACUACUGACCGCAUGGUCUGGUGGUGGAAAGAUUUAUCGGCUGAGGAUGGGCCCGCGGCCUAUCAGCUUGUUGGUGGGGUGAUGGCCCACCAAGGCGACGACGGGUAGCCGGCCUGAGAGGGUGACCGGCCACACUGGGACUGAGACACGGCCCAGACUCCUACGGGAGGCAGCAGUGGGGAAUAUUGCGCAAUGGGCGGAAGCCUGACGCAGCGACGCCGCGUGAGGGAUGACGGCCUUCGGGUUGUAAACCUCUUUCAGCAGGGACGAAGCGAAAGUGACGGUACCUGCAGAAGAAGCACCGGCCAACUACGUGCCAGCAGCCGCGGUAAUACGUAGGGUGCAAGCGUUGUCCGGAAUUAUUGGGCGUAAAGAGCUC
rnacentral:rRNA from 1 species